CCUACGGGUGACAGCAGUAGGGAAUAUUGCUCAAUGGGGGAAACCCUGAAGCAGCAACGCCGCGUGGGGGAUGAAGGUUUUCGGAUUGUAAACUCCUUUUGUUAGGGAAGAUAAUGACGGUAUCUAACGAAUAAGCACCGGCUAACUCCGUGCCAGCAGCCGCGGUACUACGGAGGGUGCAAGCGUUACUCGGAAUCACUGGGCGUAAAGAGCGCGUAGGCGGGAUAGCAAGUCAGAGGUGAAAGCCUAUGGCUUAACCCUAGAACUGCAUUUGAAACUGUUAUUCUAGAGUAGGGGAGAGGUAGGUGGAAUGCGUGGUGUAGGGGUAAAAUCCGUAGAGAUCAAGAGGAAUACUCAUUGCGAAGGCGACAUGCUAGAACAUAACUGACGCUGAUGCGCGAAAGCGUGGGGAGCAAACAGGAUUAGAUACCCCAGUAGUC
rnacentral:rRNA from 1 species